rnacentral:rRNA from 1 species
GAUGAACGCUGGCGGCGUGCCUAAUACAUGCAAGUCGAGCGAACGGACGAGAAGCUUGCUUUUCUGAUGUUAGCGGCGGACGGGUGAGUAACACGCGGAUAACCUACCUAUAAGACUGGGAUAACUUCGGGAAACCGGAGCUAAUACCGGAUAAUAUUUUGAACCGCAUGGUUCAAAAGUGAAAGACGGUCUUGCUGUCACUUAUAGAUGGAUCCGCGCUGCAUUAGCUAGUUGGUAAGGUAACGGCUUACCAAGGCAACGAUGCAUAGCCGACCUGAGAGGGUGAUCGGCCACACUGGAACUGAGACACGGUCCAGACUCCUACGGGAGGCAGCAGUAGGGAAUCUUCCGCAAUGGGCGAAAGCCUGACGGAGCAACGCCGCGUGAGUGAUGAAGGUCUUCGGAUCGUAAAACUCUGUUAUUAGGGAAGAACAUAUGUGUAAGUAACUGUGCACAUCCUGACGGUACCUAAUCAGAAAGCCACGGCUAACUACGU